GUUCUAUGAUGAGUUCCACUUCUGGUCCGUGUUUCUGAAAACUCCAUGAUAUCUGUGGAAGUUCUGAGUUA